rnacentral:rRNA from 1 species
ACGAACGCUGGCGGCGUGCUUCACCCAUGCAAGUCGAACGGUGAAGCCCUUCGGGGUGGAUCAGUGGCGAACGGGUGAGUAACACGUGAGCAACCUGCCCCUGGCUCUGGGACAACCACUGGAAACGGUGGCUAAUACCGGAUACGACCCGCCUCGGCAUCGAGUGUGGGUGGAAAGUUUUUCGGCUGGGGAUGGGCUCGCGGCCUAUCAGCUUGUUGGUGAGGUGAAGGCUCACCAAGGCGACGACGGGUAGCCGGCCUGAGAGGGCGACCGGCCACACUGGGACUGAGACACGGCCCAGACUCCUACGGGAGGCAGCAGUGGGGAAUAUUGCACAAUGGGCGAAAGCCUGAUGCAGCGACGCCGCGUGAGGGAUGACGGCCUUCGGGUUGUAAACCUCUUUCAGCUCCGAAGAAGCGAAAGUGACGGUAGGAGCAGAAGAAGCACCGGCUAACUACGUG